ACUCCUACGGGAGGCAGCAGUGGGGAAUAUUGCACAAUGGGCGCAAGCCUGAUGCAGCCAUGCCGCGUGUGUGAAGAAGGCCUUCGGGUUGUAAAGCACUUUCAGUUGUGAGGAAGGUGGUGUCGUUAAUAGCGGCAUCAUUUGACGUUAGCAACAGAAGAAGCACCGGCUAACUCCGUGCCAGCAGCCGCGGUAAUACGGAGGGUGCGAGCGUUAAUCGGAAUUACUGGGCGUAAAGCGCAUGCAGGUGGUUUGUUAAGUCAGAUGUGAAAGCCCGGGGCUCAACCUCGGAACUGCAUUUGAAACUGGCAGACUAGAGUACUGUAGAGGGGGUAGAAUUUCAGGUGUAGCGGUGAAAUGCGUAGAGAUCGUGAAGGAUACCGGUGGCGAAGGCGGCCCCUGGACAGAUACUGACACUCAGAUGCGAAAGCGUGGGAGCAAACAGGAUUAGAUACCCGU
rnacentral:rRNA from 1 species